GCUGAACGAGGAUCUUCCUUGGCUGAGAGCAGGAUCUACGCGCAGCUGAAAAUACGUUUGUGAAGAUCCAAGUGAACGAAACGACCUGGCCAUUGGUCACAGGAAAAAAGGUUACAAGCUGAGGUUGGAACCAGCGAUGCUGGGGGCCUUCUGUUGUGGCACUUUUCUCAGGAUGGGACGAGCAGUCUGCUGGAGGCACAUCUUUACCUGUCACUAGAGAUAUCCCAAGGAACAGCUUCCACAUGAAAUGUCUUCUCAGCUGGGCUGGUGGCUGAAGUGGGGGCACACAAGGCCCAUUCCACUCCCGCUAACCCCUGGCACACUGCUGCCCGUGGCUUUCAGCUGGCUGGGGUUAACCCGUGUGUCCUUUCCCCCAGGAAAAGGGGGAAACAGUGUGUCCUCAGCUGCCAGCAGGAUGCUCUCGCUCCUCACUCACCCACUUGUGACUGUGCAGGAGCAGAGCGUGGCUCCUAUUUCAAACACAGCUCUUUAAAGGCAAAUUUGGGGAGCUGGUGCACUGCGUAGGAUAAUAAAUCCCUUCUUACGAGC